UGAUGAUGGUGAGGGCAGUUUUUUAGCAUACCCUUAAAUCUCUCCCAAGCCUGGUAGAGAUUAUCUCUAUUUUUCUAUCUAUAACUCAAGAUUUCACUCCUCAAGUG
rfam:Capsicum annuum cultivar Zunla-1 unplaced genomic scaffold scaffold9, whole genome shotgun sequence